rnacentral:rRNA from 1 species
CCUACGGGAGGCAGCAGUGGGGAAUAUUGCACAAUGGGCGCAAGCCUGAUGCAGCCAUGCCGCGUGUGUGAAGAAGGCCUUCGGGUUGUAAAGCACUUUCAGCGGGGAGGAAGGCGUUAAGGUUAAUAACCUUGGCGAUUGACGUUACCCGCAGAAGAAGCACCGGCUAACUCCGUGCCAGCAGCCGCGGUAAUACGGAGGGUGCAAGCGUUAAUCGGAAUUACUGGGCGUAAAGCGCACGCAGGGCGGUCUGUCAAGUCGGAUGUGAAAUCCCCGGGCUCAACCCGGGAACUGCAUUCGAAACUGGGAGGGUAGAGGCUUGGUGGGGGGGGUAGAAUUCCAGGUGUAGCGGUGAAAUGCGUAGAGAUCUGGAGGAAUACCGGUGGCGAAGGCGGCCCCCUGGACAAAGACUGACGCUCAGGUGCGAAAGCGUGGGGAGCAAACAGGAUUAGAUACCCGUGUAGUC